UUAUUAUAUGCAAGGUAUUAGAUGC
rnacentral:piRNA from 1 species